UACGAGGGGAGCUAGCGUUGUUCGGAAUUACUGGGCGUAAAGCGCGCGUAGGCGGUCUUUUAAGUCAGAGGUGAAAGCCUGGUGCUCAACACCAGAACUGCCUUUGAAACUGGAAAACUUGAAUCAUGGAGAGGUCAGUGGAAUUCCGAGUGUAGAGGUGAAAUUCGUAGAUAUUCGGAAGAACACCAGUGGCGAAGGCGACUGACUGGACAUGUAUUGACGCUGAGGUGCGAAAGCGUGGGGAGCAAACAGG
rnacentral:rRNA from 1 species